AGGCUGAUGACCAUUUUGGGAUGGAAGGCUUUCUCCCCCCUGGCUGGACCAAGGCCAUUCGAUGGAGUGAGCAGCAGGAGAAGAUAGGUCUACAGCAUCUGUCACAAAGAACCAAGAAGUGGUCACUCUUGUCUAUUAAAAUACAGCUUGGAAAGGAGCCCUUAUGUCAUGCAACCUCCUCUGCACAUUCAGCGAGGUAGCAGGAGACCUUCUGGAGAUGGUUCGAGCCCACAGCUCCCUUCCAUGAUGAGCCUCCUAGCCCCUAAACUCUUGGUCAUUCAGCAGGGGAUGAGGGUUACUGUGUGCUCCCCGUUCCUCUCGUUAGAGCUGUGGCAACGUGAAAGCAUAGAAAUGGGCCAGUGCAAGUGCAUCACGCGCGACGUCUGGGACCUGCACGGAGGCAGCCAGGCAGCCGGCCCCGGGGCUUGGYGCCGCGCGCUGCAGCGAGCGCCUGCAGGUACAGUGCUGUUCUGCUGCUCCCGCCGAGCGCGCCGCAGCCAG
rnacentral:lncRNA from 1 species